rnacentral:rRNA from 1 species
AUCGAACGCUGGCGGCAGGCCUAACACAUGCAAGUCGAACGAGUGGCGGACGGGUGAGUAAUGUCUGGGAAACUUCCUGUUGGAGGGGGAUAACUACUGGAAACGGUAGCUAAUUUCGCCUACCAUCGUAUUUGCCCAGAUGGGAUUAGCUAGUAGGUGGGGUAAGGGCUCACCUAGGCGACGAUCCCUAGCGGGUCUGAGAGGAUGACCAGCAAAACUGGAACUGAGACACGGUCCAGAUUCCGACGGGGGGCAGCAGGGGGGAAUAUUGCAAAAUGGGGGCAAGCCUGAUGAAGCCAUGCCGCGUGUAUGAAGAAGGCCUUCGGGUGGUAAAGUACUUUCAGCGGGGAGGCGGUACCCGAAGAAGAAGCACUGGCUAACUACGUGCCAGCAGCCGCGGUAAUUC